AGAGUUUGAUCAUGGCUCAGAUUGAACGCUGGCGGCAUGCCUUACACAUGCAAGUCGAACGCGAAAGGGGGCAACCCCGAGUAGAGUGGCGAACGGGUGAGUAAUGCAUCGGAACAUUUCCUGUAGCGGGGGACAACCUCGAGAAAUCGAGGCUAAUACCGCAUACGAUCUUCGGAUGAAAGUGGGGGACCGCAAGGCCUCACACUAUAGGAGUGGCCGAUGCCGGAUUAGCUAGUUGGCGGGGUAAAAGCCCACCAAGGCGACGAUCCGUAGCUGGUCUGAGAGGACGACCAGCCACACUGGGACUGAGACACGGCCCAGACUCCUACGGGAGGCAGCAGUGGGGAAUUUUGGACAAUGGGCGCAAGCCUGAUCCAGCCAUGCCGCGUGAGUGAAGAAGGCCUUCGGGUUGUAAAGCUCUUUCGGCCGGGACGAAAUCGCGCGGGCGAAUAUCCCGCGUGGAUGACGGUACCGGAAGAAGAAGGACCGGCUAACUACGUGCCAGCAGCCGCGGUAAUACGUAGGGUCCGAGCGUUAAUCGGAAUUACUGGGCGUAAAGCGUGCGCAGGCGGUUCGCAAAGACAGGUGUGAAAUCCCCGGGCUUAACCUGGGAACUGCGCUUGUAACUAGCGGGCUAGAGUGCGGCAGAGGGGGGUGGAAUUCCACGUGUAGCAGUGAAAUGCGUAGAGAUGUGGAGGAACACCGAUGGCGAAGGCAGCCCCCUGGGCUAGCACUGACGCUCAUGCACAAAAGCGUGGGGAGCAAACAGGAUUAGAUACCCUCGUAGUCC
rnacentral:rRNA from 1 species